AGGUUUCCUACGCAACGUUCAUCGGCGUAGGGUGAGUCGGCCCCUAAGGCGAGGCAGAAAUGCGUAGCUGAUGGGAAGCAGGUCAAUAUUCCUGCACCAUUGUUAGAUGCGAUGGGGGGACGGAUCGCGGAAGGUUGUCCGGGUGUUGGAAGUCCCGGUCGCUGCAUUGGAGAAGGCGCUUAGGCAAAUCCGGGCGCAGGAUUCAAGGGUGUGGCGCGAGCUCCUUCGGGAGCGAAGCAAUUGGAAGUGGUUCCAAGAAAAGCCUCUAAGCUUCAGUCUAACGAUGACCGUACCGCAAACCGACACAGGUGGGCGAGAUGAGUAUUCUAAGGCGCUUGAGAGAACUCGGGAGAAGGAACUCGGCAAAUUGGUACCGUAACUUCGGGAUAAGGUACGCCCUGGUAGCUUGACUGGCCUGCGCCAGAAGGGUGAAGGGGUUGCAAUAAACUGGUGGCUGCGACUGUUUAAUAAAAACACAGCACUCUGCAAACACGAAAGUGGACGUAUAGGGUGUGACGCCUGCCCGGUGCCGGAAGAUUAAAUGAUGGGGUGCAAGCUCUUGAUUGAAGUCCCGGUAAACGGCGGCCGUAACUAUAACGGUCCUAAGGUAGCGAAAUUCCUUGUCGGGUAAGUUCCGACCUGCACGAAUGGCGUAACGAUGGCCACACUGUCUCCUCCCGAGACUCAGCGAAGUUGAAGUGUUUGUGAUGAUGCAAUCUACCCGCGGCUAGACGGAAAGACCCCAUGAACCUUUACUGUAGCUUUGCAUUGGACUUUGAACCGAUCUGUGUAGGAUAGGUGGGAGGCUAUGAAACCGGAACGCUAGUUUCGGUGGAGCCGUCCUUGAAAUACCACCCUGGUUUGUUUGAGGUUCUAACCUUGGCCCGUGAUCCGGGUCGGGGACAGUGCAUGGUAGGCAGUUUGACUGGGGCGGUCUCCUCCCAAAGCGUAACGGAGGAGUACGAAGGUACGCUAGGUACGGUCGGAAAUCGUGCUGAUAGUGCAAUGGCAUAAGCGUGCUUAACUGCGAGACCGACAAGUCGAGCAGGUGCGAAAGCAGGUCAUAGUGAUCCGGUGGUUCUGUAUGGAAGGGCCAUCGCUCAACGGAUAAAAGGUACUCUGGGGAUAACAGGCUGAUACCGCCCAAGAGUUCAUAUCGACGGCGGUGUUUGGCACCUCGAUGUCGGCUCAUCUCAUCCUGGGGCUGUAGCCGGUCCCAAGGGUAUGGCUGUUCGCCAUUUAAAGAGGUACGUGAGCUGGGUUUAAAACGUCGUGAGACAGUUUGGUCCCUAUCUGCCGUGGGCGUUGGAAGUUUGAAGGGGGCUGCUCCUAGUACGAGAGGACCGGAGUGGACGAACCUCUGGUGUACCGGUUGUGACGCCAGUCGCAUCGCCGGGUAGCUAUGUUCGGAAGAGAUAACCGCUGAAAGCAUCUAAGCGGGAAACUCGCCUUAAGAUGAGACUUCCCCGGGGACUUGAUCCCCUUGAAGGGUCGUUCGAGACCAGGACGUUGAUAGGUCGGGUGUGUAAGCGCAGUAAUGCGUUCAGCUAACCGAUACUAAUUGCCCGUACGGCUUGAUCCU
rnacentral:rRNA from 1 species